rnacentral:lncRNA from 1 species
CAAACUCAGACCGACCCCAAACUCUCCCCAGCCCCAAACUCUCCCCAACCCCAAAUCCAAUCUGUCCCAAACUCAGUCCGACCCCAAACACAGCUCAACCCCAAACUCACCCCAACCCCAAUUUGCUCCAAACUCAGCCCCAAAACCUAAACCAGACCUAACCCUAAAUGACUUAAUCCAACCCUAAACUCAGCCUUAACCUUAAAUAGAGGCAGCUUAAGCUGCAGUGGGGUCUGAACACUUCAUGCAGCUGUAAUCCUAAAACUAUAGGAUUGAACCUAAUCUCAACCCUAAUCUAACCCAAACCCAGGCCCAACCCAAAAUAUACCCUACAUAUACAGCACUUCAACCGACCCCAAUCCAGCCCAAACCCCAAGAAUCCUAACCCAGCCCUAAUCCUACAUACAUACAACUGAUGGCCAUCCUAACACCAAGCGCAGCCCUAACCCCAAAUAAACCCCAGCGGGGCUCUGACCUUAAUCCAACCACAACCCUAAAGACACAGGGCUUCAGCUGACCCUAAUUCAACCCCAAAUUCCACCCCUAACCCCAUCGUAGCCCCAAAGACACCGGACUAAACCCAAACCCCAUUGGGGCCACAGUUCAGCAGAACCCUAAAUACUUACAGGACUCAACCUUCAUCCUAAUCCAGCCCAAACCCCAAAUCAGACGGGCUGUCCCGGUCCCACGGGGUCUCACAGCCCUAUUUGGGGGUUGUGCCCCCUCCCCAGGUUGCCCCAUUUGCCCCCAGGGUUGGACCUAUUUUGGGGGAUCCUGUUAUUUCUACUCCCAAACGGCCAACACGUGGGACGGCGCGCGGGGCUUCUGCUCCGCCCGUGGGGCGCAGCUGCUGGAGGUGGACGGCCCCGAGGAGAAGGCUCACCUCCAAACCACGCUGCUCAGCUCCUCGUGGCUGGGUAUCAGAGACGAGGAGCUGGAGGGCACCUGGAAACGAGCGAACGGAUCCGUCCUGAUCCGGGCACACGGCUCGUGGCACCGGAGCGAACCCAACGGGGGGCAGCAGGAGAACUGCGCGGCGGUGCGCAGGGAUGGCUGGUGGUACGACUACCCCUGCAGCAGCCUGCUGCCAUGGGUGUGCGAGGGGCAGCCCUGGGCGUGCGAGGGGCAGCCCUGACAACGGGGGUUUGGGUUUUAUUUUAUUUUUUUUUUUUGUUUUUUUUUUUUUUUUUUGUGGGGGGGGGGGGGGCAACCUGGAGGGUUGAAACCCCGUCCCCAAUUCGCGUGGCGCAUCCCCCAUCCGCGAUGAGGAGCCGACCCCCUGCAUGGCUGCUUUGGGGUUUGGGUGGGCGCCCCCCGCAAAAGUUGGGGUCCCUCAGGGGGAAUAAAUGUGUGCAGAGUGAGGCCUCGCCUCAGUCUGUUUUUGGGAGGGGGGAGAUGGGGGGUGGGGGGCAGCGCGCCCCAUAGGGAGACGUGAGGGUAAUUCUGCAGGUGGGAAUCUUGGGACCCACAAACGCCCUGCAAAUAACCUACAGAAACACAAAUCGUCCCCAAAAUGCCCUACAAAUACCUGCACGACCCCAAAUUGUCUCCAAAAUCCCCUACAAAUACCCUGAAGAACCCCAAAUCAUCUCCAAAAUCCCCUACAAAAACCCUGAAGAACCCCAGAUCAUCUCCAAAACAUCCUACAAAUAACCUACAGAACCCCAAAUCUUCUCCAAAGUGCCCUACAAAUACCCUGAAGAACCCCAAAUCAUUUCCGAAAUCCCCUACAAAUACCUGCACGACCCCAGAUCAUCUCCAAUGCCCUACAAAUAACCUACAGAACCCCA